GUCUCCAGGCUCCAUGAGGAUGAGAAAACAGAGCCCAAAGGGUAAGGCGUGUGGCCAUGUUUCCACUACUACCAAGCAAGGAACUAGUACUCAGACACAGGACUGUUUGAGGCCAAAGCAUUGUCUUCACAAAUAAAGGACCGUGAAUAGAUACAAUUACCUCAGACGACAUCAGUGAGCAUGGGAUAUCUCAAAGUGACAACCCAUGAGCACAGAAUGCAGAGGAAAAGGACUUUUUUUUUCCCACUACCACAUUUCACUUCAACUCCAUGAGGCUGAGAGAGGGGACAGUCUACAUUCAUGACAUCAGCAUGCAGUAAGGACAAUCAAGUGCUGGAUUGACAGAUGAAGUGUCUGAGCAGAAGAUCCUCUCAGCUUCUCUCCAGCACCAUGUCUGCCUGCAUGCCACAAUGUUCCUCACCAUGAUGAUAAUGGACUAAACCCCUGAAACUGAGAGAGUGAACUCCACAGAAGACACAUGGUCUGUCUGCUUCCCUGCUAAAUCCACGGUAUGAAUGCUUGCAGGGACUGUGUCCCUUCUGGUAAUAAAUAAACAAAGAAUGGAGGGAGAAAACUUGUCUUAUUUUACUUCUUAUUUAUGAAAUCAAACCUUUCUGGAGAAGGAUUACAAGGAUGAAUGCUUGAAGCCAGGGAGACCUGCCGUCACUGGGGAACGCUCAACCUCAGAAGCCAGCAAUUAUUCUCUAUGGCUUCAACAAAGAACAGCUGCCCUUCAGAAGACAGAACCUGGGUGGAGACUUAAGCCAUGAAAAUAAAUAAUCUGGCUGUGUGCAGGGGCCCAAUCUGGAGGCUGAAGCCAAAGGAAGUAGAGUUUUGAGGGCAUUGUGAGUUACAUAGCAUGUUUGAGGCCGGCCGGAGCUACAUGGCACCAGCAGGCUUGAGAGAUGGCCUUACACAAGCAAGAGGAUCUGUCCUCUUCAUUGGGACCUAGACUCAGAAAGAGUUCUGUGACGAAUCCAGCUGACCAAGAAACCUGUGGAGGAGGAAGAGAAGGUAUUCCAAGCAGUGGAGUAAUCUGGGCAAAGUCAUGGAAUGAUGACAAAUUCUGGGACAUAGAGGUGACAGAGUCAGACUCCUGUGUGGUCCCUAUGCUAGUAAGGCAUAAUAGUGACCAGCUGAGAGGUAGACAACCUCAGGUGGUGUUAGACAAACCCAAGUUCAAGAACGGACACUGCACCAGUUCCAUCUUUCUGGCUUCACUCCCUGAAAAGCAAGGGCUGGGAGGAAGAUGGGAAGAAGUAUCCUCUCCCUCAGGGUGCCCUCGGCAAAGAUGGAGGAUAGCACCCAGAAGCUCUGAGGAGGCUUGUGUUUAAAGAGAAAACACUGAAACGGCUGUGUCUUUGCUUCAGCUUGCUUGAACCACAAUAUUUAUUUGGAAUUUGAAACUCAUUAAGAGUGGCUGUGAAGUGUUUACCCAGGGUAACUUGGGUUAUCAAGAGACUGAGAAAGUUUGACUGAAAUGACCCUGAAUCCCUUCUGAGCCUUCAGUGUGCCAGAGGUCUGCAACACAGGAAGCACAGGGAGACACUGUGAGACUUGGAAGUUGCUGUUGGUCUCCAACUCCAGCUCACACUUUGCCAUUCAGUCCCUGUGCAGGUUAAAGUCCUGGGAUAUCUGGAGUGUCAGAUGCUUCCUUCAUAACAACCUGGUAUCACAGACUUGUGGGCUUAUUUCAAAUAAGCAGUACUUGGCACAUAACAGGUCCCAGCCAAGUACAAAGCUGUGCACAAAGCUAGCCAAGGCUUCCCUCAGUAGCCUACUCCUUGGUCAGAAUAAGGUCCUUUUGAAUGCUUCCCAUGGGAUGUUCCCCUGCCCCCAAAUACACUAUCAGGUCUCGUUUAUAAGGAGAUAUAAUGUGGGUUUGGGCCUCAGAAUAUAGCUUCAAUGAAUUUUGGGAAUUUAGGUAUGUGCUUGGAACCACUCCAAGGUUAAAAAUCUUUUAAAAACUAAAGCAUUAUUAAAAUUAUCCUGAAAAUCUUAUCCACUGUGUUUUGAUGUCCAUCCAUUCCCA
rnacentral:lncRNA from 1 species